rnacentral:rRNA from 1 species
AGAGUUUGAUCCUGGCUCAGGAUAAACGCUGGCGGCGCACAUAAGACAUGCAAGUCGAACGGACUUAGGCUCAUUCUUUACGAUUGAGUACGGUUAGUGGCGGACUGGUGAGUAACGCGUGAGCAACCUGCCUAUAAGAGGGGAACAACAGUUAGAAAUGACUGCUAAUACCGCAUAAGCUGAUAGGACUACAUGGUCUAGUCAGAAAAGGAGCAAUCCGCUUAUAGAUGGGCUCGCGUCCGAUUAGCUAGUUGGUGGGGUAAAGGCCUACCAAGGCGACGAUCGGUAGCCGGACUGAGAGGUUGAACGGCCACAUUGGGACUGAGAUACGGCCCAGACUCCUACGGGAGGCAGCAGUCGGGAAUAUUGCGCAAUGGAGGAAACUCUGACGCAGUGACGCCGCGUAUAGGAAGAAGUUUUUCGGAAUGUAAACUAUUGUCGUUAGGGAAGAGAAAGGACGGUACCUAAGGAGGAAGCCCCGGCUAACUAUGUGCCAGCAGCCGCGGU